AUUGAACGCUGGCGGCAGGCUUAACACAUGCAAGUCGAGCGAGCGGCGGACGGGUGAGUAAUGUAUGGGCAACUGCCUGAUGGAGGGGGAUAACUACUGGAAACGGUAGCUAAUACCGCAUAACACCAGUUCUGCCCUGAUGGGUUUGGGUAGUAGGUGGGGUAAUGGAUCACCAAGGCGACGAUCCCUAGCUGGUCUGCGAGGCUGCCCGGCCACACUGGAACUGAGACACGGUCCAGACUCCUACGGGAGGCAGCAGUGGGGAAUAUUGCACAAUGGGGGAAAGCCUGAUGCAGCCAUGCCGCGUGUGUGAAGAAGGCCUUCGGGUUGUAAAGCACUUUCAGCGAGGAGGCGUUACUCGCAGAAGAAGCACCGGCUAACUCCGUGCCAGCAGCCGCGGUAAUUC
rnacentral:rRNA from 1 species